UACGUAGGGGGCGAGCGUUGUCCGGAAUUAUUGGGCGUAAAGAGCGUGUAGGCGGUUCGGUAAGUCUGCCGUGAAAACCUGGGGCUCAACCCCGGGCGUGCGGUGGAUACUGCCGGGCUAGAGGGUGGUAGAGGCGAGUGGAAUUCCCGGUGUAGCGGUGAAAUGCGCAGAUAUCGGGAGGAACACCAGUAGCGAAGGCGGCGUCCUGGACCAACACUGACACUGAUGAGCGAAAGCCAGGGGAGCAAACGGG
rnacentral:rRNA from 1 species